rnacentral:pre_miRNA from 1 species
GGUGGGGGGUGCGUUGGGGGUCCCUCAGACCAGAUUGCAAGAGGGUUCAGGCCAGGCUGAGGGAUCCCAACAGUGCAUG